AUUAUCAGACCCAGCUCUACGCUAACAAACGCAACAAAGAAAUGUUCUUGCUUUUCAUUUCCACCAUCAUUACAUCUGCAAGAGCUCAAGCUGAAACAGUCACUUGAUUUUAAAGCGAGCAAGGAAGGAAGGAAACUCAGAUUUUAUGGUUUGUGUUUGGGUGGGGGGCAGGUGGACGUAGCCGGUCUUUCAACCUAUAAGCCACGACGGGACGUUGUAAACAGAGAAAGCCAAUGUUUCUAAUUCCACGACUGAUGGAACUCGGUUGGAAGGGAACUUUUUUUUUUUUUUUUGGAACUAGCGUUGUUAUACGAGUCUCCAUCUGGUUUCUAUUGGUGAAGCUGAGAAGUCCAGGAUGGAGUGAUUGGCUAUUGGCCAGUGGAUCUCUUUGUGGGAGACAGCGGACUGAGAGAUCUGGACUCAAGGAGUCUGGGAGAGAAGAAAAUGGUGUCGCACCAGGACCGCUUCCACUGUAUUGGAUUGACAACGAUUGAUACUUGGCCAACAAUGGGAACGAUAUAUCAAACUACAUAACACAGUUCAUAUACACAAGCAAAUUAGAGCUGGUGAAAAGUGCAGAGUGGUGCGGAGCCAGUGGUGAGAUACUGUUCUGUGGUUGUGAUCGAACCCGCUGUUUUGUCUUUCCUGGUGUUUUUUGUGGUUUUACACUAAAGGAUGACUGACCAACAUGAGAGCUUAAAGUCAAAAUGAAACUGAUCUAUGGACAGACGUUCCAGACUCUGAAUUUGCAUAAUGAGGGCAAAACUGUCUUGUAGCAACAAUGAGAAGAAUGUUUACGUCAUGUUCCGGAAUUCGUUUUGAAUCACUUUUCCAGUUUUACUCAUUUGUAUUAGUCAUAAUGUAACUUUAUGUAGUUUUUGACAAAACCAUUGUGGGUUCGAAAUUUUUUUACCAUAAAGUAAAUGAUUACACAAGACAAGGAUUUGCAGGAAUUUACUUUACGAGCAGAUGUCUAGCAACAAAUUUUGCUUGUUAAACAGGAAACCUGUAUUCUAAACUAUUGCUUCAUCUAUUUUUCUGAAUAAAACUCGAUGCAGAUUGUAA
ensembl:lncRNA